UACGGAGGGAGCUAGCGUUGUUCGGAAUUACUGGGCGUAAAGCGCACGUAGGCGGCUUUUUAAGUCAGGGGUGAAAUCCCGGGGCUCAACCCCGGAACUGCCCUUGAAACUGGAGAGCUAGAAUCUUGGAGAGGCGAGUGGAAUUCCGAGUGUAGAGGUGAAAUUCGUAGAUAUUCGGAAGAACACCAGUGGCGAAGGCGACUCGCUGGACAAGUAUUGACGCUGAGG
rnacentral:rRNA from 1 species